rnacentral:rRNA from 1 species
UUAAUGGAGAGUUUGAUCCUGGCUCAGGACGAACGCUGGCGGCGUGCCUAAUACAUGCAAGUCGAGCGGGGGUCUUCGGACCCUAGCGGCGGACGGGUGAGUAACACGUAGGCAACCUGCCUGUAA